CUGCAGGCUAAACUGUCAGUUAUUGUCAGUUACCAGAGAGGGAAGCUGGUCUUCAGAAGGGCCCCUGAAUUUCCCUCUUUUUGUAACACAUUUUCAGGGGGGUGGCUGUUCACAGACCUUGACCUGUUAUUGAAGAAUCCCAAAGCGCAUCAGCCAAAGACCGAAAUAACGCCAGGAGGAGAGAGAAAUUACAGAGAAGUUACACCAAAUAAUGUGUUUUCCAAUUAUAAUUUACUGCCUCGUGACAACCCA